UUAUUUUAUUUUAAUAUUUCAUUACAUUCUUUGACUGGUGUUUAAAAUGAGCCGCAGGUCAAGGCAAAGAAAAAGAUCAAGGUUUUUAACACCCAUUUCUUUCUUCACCAAGUCCCGCCAAUAAAUGCACAGAGUUAGAAAAUGGAGGUCAGGCUCUACAAGUAGACACCCUAAAAUUCAUUAAUGAUCCUUCCGCAGGUUCACCUACGGAAA
rnacentral:misc_RNA from 1 species